rnacentral:rRNA from 1 species
GCAACCGGGGAGUGGCGGACGGGUGAGUACGCGUGGGAACCUGCCUUGAAGUUCGGAAUAACCGCGGGAAACUGCGGCUAAUACCGGAUGUGGCCUGAGGGCCAAAGGGGAAACUCGCUUCGAGAGGGGCCCGCGUCCGAUUAGCUAGUUGGUGAGGUAACGGCUCACCAAGGCGACGAUCGGUAGCUGGUCUGAGAGGAUGAUCAGCCACACUGGGACUGAGACACGGCCCAGACUCCUACGGGAGGCAGCAGUGGGGAAUAUUGGACAAUGGGGGCAACCCUGAUCCAGCAAUGCCGCGUGAGUGAUGAAGGCCUUCGGGUUGUAAAGCUCUUUUGGCGGGGACGAUGAUGACGGUACCCGCAUAAUAAGCCCCGGCUAACUUCGUGCCAGCAGCCGCGGUAA